CCUACGGGUGGCAGCAGUGAGGAAUAUUGGUCAAUGGGCGCAAGCCUGAACCAGCCAAGUCGCGUGAGGGAAGACUGCCCUGUGGGUUGUAAACCUCUUUUAUAAGGGAAGAAAAGUGGGGACGUGUAGGCAGAUGCGCGUACCUGAUGAAUAAGCAUCGGCUAACUCCGUGCCAGCAGCCGCGGUAAUACGGAGGAUGCGAGCGUUAUCCGGAUUUAUUGGGUUUAAAGGGUGCGUAGGCGGUAUUUUAAGUGAGUGGUAAAAGGUCGGGGCUUCACCUUGAGUGGCCGUUGAAACUGGCGGCCUCGAGUUCAGACGAGGUAGGCGGAAUUCGUUCUGUAGCGGUGACAUGCUUAGAUAUCACUUAGAACCCCGAUCGCGAAGGCAGCUUACCGGACUGUCACUGACGCUGAGGCUCGAAAGCGUGGGUAUCAAACAGGAUUAGAUACCCGUGUAGUC
rnacentral:rRNA from 1 species